GGGCUCAUAGCUCAGUUGGUAGAGCAUUCGCAUCACACGCGAAAGGCCUCAGGUUCGAGUCCUGAUGAGCCCACUA
rnacentral:tRNA from 1 species